GAGCCAAAUGCAGUGCUUGCUUCCUAUCUGUGGUCCAUUGCAUAGCAGUGUGCUUGGGUGCUGCGUAAGACAAUUCCCCCCAACGCCUCCAAAAAAUAGGACAUGGUCCACUGCAGGAGUUCAUAAUCUAGGAGUCCAGAGAGUCCAGGCUCAUCAUCCCUUCAGAAGAAAGAAUCUUCAGGCCUCUGCUCUUGUGAGAGUAAUUUCUCUUAACACCGACAGUGCAGCCUACUCCAUGUGCUACUUUCUCUCGCAACUUUGAGCAAGAAUGUUAGAUCUUUUGCUGGGGGCCUUCGGAAGCCGUGAGGGAGCAUAUCCUGACACCCACAUAGAAGACCUGGUACCUAUGUUUCCACAUCACAAAGCAGGCCAACAAGCACACAAGGCCGCAGACCAAAUUAAGAAUCAUCUGGAUGAGUAAGAACAGUUUGAAAGUGCCAGUGACGCUGGUACAGUCCGUCACAUCCCGGUAAACAAAGGUCCUGCUGAGCGGCUCCGAGGAGGGCAGUUUGCACUGGCAAGAGUCGAGUGUGGUCUCACAGGUAAACUGUGUGAGCUGCGAAUAGUGGUGGGCGGCAAAGGCCACGGCCAGCACACAGACCGUCAGGCCCAGGGCACUCAGCAGAAAGUAUAACAGCUGCAAGAAAGCAGAAGAAAACCUUUCUGGUUACAAAGAACAUUGGAUGAUGAUUUGCAAAGCGAAUUCAUCAAAACUGUUCUUUUUCUUCCCUCCCAGAAAUUUUCUGAUGGAAAGGCUGUCUCUUCUUAGAAACACAACACCCAAGACAUGGAAAUAGCUCCAUGUUUAUUUAUUAGUGGGUAGUUCUUAAACCCUGAUCACAUUUUCACUUGCCAUCCAGAUGUUGGGCCCUUUUCAAGAGUUGUGACAACCAUAUUAGCUGGACUGUGGAAUGUUUUUGUCUAGAUAUUGCCAGCAGUUUAGAUGAAUCCCAAACAAGCUAGCCAUCCCUGGAUGACAUGUUGUGCUUAUUUUGAACUCAAGAACUUCUGAUAUUAAGACUGAAACAAGACUAGGAAGUAAAGAACAGGUUUUUGUAAUGCAAACACUGUGUGGGCCAAAAUUAGCAAUGAUGGGUCAACUAAUAGCAUAAGUUAAUUUUUUUAAAAGACUACAUUCAAUGUAGUGAUUGCCAAACUGUAUCCAUAAACAUGAGAAUCCCCAGUAGGAGGUUGCUGGGAGAAAAUAAAUUAUGGCUCCAGAAGUCAAGUGACUCAACGUCAGCUUCAUCGCCUGUGAAACUUACCCCAAGCCCAACAACGACCAUGUGAUUCCUGAGCCUGAAAAAACUCUAAAUGGUUCCUCAGUCACCAAGGUUUUGAACACUGUUGGCCUCCAGAUUAGCUUUGGGAUUGAAAAAGUCUGGUUAAAGUUCUCGCUCUGCUGCUACAGGGCUGUGGGAACUCUGAACAAUUUAGGGAUUUAGCUUACACCUAAAAUAUUCUGAGCAAAACUUGUGGGUGUUCACUGACAUGGCCACAAUAAAAUCUAUGGAACAAGAAAUAUUUUUGUGAUUGAACUCACCUACUAGAAAUGUUAAUCUUAAUGGUCCACCUGCUGAGACUCUAGGUAAGGCUCAGAGUCCCCAGCUUUUGAGACUAGUACACAUAGUUCUUAGUGCAAGAAUUACAUUACCACAGUCAAAAGUUGCUCUCUACAGAGAACAAUUCUGGUAAAUGGACACUUCACAAAGUAAUAUUAGUUCCAGUCAUUUCCAGGUUCAGAGGAAAGUAGCUCUGAGAAGAUGAUGCCCUUCCCCCACCUUCCCUUAUAUAUAAUUCAAAAUUAAAACAUAUAUGUGACACUACAAAAUAUGUGUACAAAAGUCCUCCAAAUGAGUGUGUUCCACACAGUGAUGAUUUCAAGUGUUUUCAAGUCUUAAAUUUGGAAUGCUGUAUUUACAUUUUUACUUUUUCUUUUUCUUGAGUGGUAUGUGUGCAUGUAUGUGUGGGUGUGGGUGUACAUACUGGUUGCUGGUGCCCUAAGCUUAUCUCUGGUUUGCCUGUAAGGGAAUCCAUCAGGGAUUACAUACAGCUUGACUGUCUAUCUAAGGUCACUGGAAGAGCGUAGAAUUAGUUAAAGCCAUUUUUUUCUUAAUACAUCUUAAUUAGUAUCAUGGAUUCUUUAGAUCUUUUCAUCAAAGAGAUCUUAAACACACAUUCUUUUUCCUCUUCAAAUCAUUUAAAGGAUUGUCAGAUGUAACCUAAGUAUCUUCAUCUGUGAAACAGUUUAUAGAAACAUCUUAUAUCUCAGGGACAUAACAAUGAUUAUACUCAAUAUUAGUGUUCCUUGGAGGAAGGGAACCAGAUAUAUACAAAGUGGUACCAUCAUAAAAAAAAUUUUUUUUAAGAGAUGGAGUCUUGCUAUGUGGCCCAGGCUGGUCUCAAACUCCAAGCCUCAAGUGAUCCUCCCACCUCAGCCUCCCAAAGUAUUGAGAUUAGAGCCGUGAACCACUUCGUCUGGCCCUCAAUAUUUUCAGUGACUACAUUUUAUGCAAAAAUUGGAGUUUUUAGCCUAAAAAUAUGGAUUUAUUUUGUAGAACCAAUGGGGAAGAAUAUUUGAACAAUUCUGGGUUGUUCUGAAAUAUUCAGGCUUGAUUACUGACUUCAAACUCUUGGUGCCAAGAGCCAAAUUAAACUGUCUUGACCAUG
rnacentral:lncRNA from 1 species